rnacentral:rRNA from 1 species
GAAAUGAUAGCUAAUACCGGAUUAAAUAUAGAUUCGUUUCUAUAUUAAAAGGAGCCUUUAAAGCUUCGCUUAAAGAUGGGCCUGCGGCGUAUUAGCUAGUUGGUGAGGUAAUGGCUUACCAAGGCGACGAUGCGUAGCCGAACUGAGAGGUUGAUCGGCCACAUUGGGACUGAGACACGGCCCAAACUCCUACGGGAGACAGCAGUUAGGAAUAUUCGUCAAUGGGGGAAACCCUGAACGAGCAAUGCCGCGUGAACGAUGAAGGCCCUAUGGGUUGUAAAGUUCUGUUGCAUGGGACGAACGGCUAGGAUAGGAAAUGAUCUUAGUGUGACGGUACCAUGCCAGAAAGCUCCGGCUAACUACGUGCCAGCAGCCGCGGUAAUACGUAGGGAGCGAGCGUUAUCCGGAUUUAUUGGGCGUAAAGGGUGCGUAGGCGGUUUGUUAAGUAUGAGAUUAAAGCCUGAGGCUUAACCUCAGUUCGUUUCAUAAACUGGCAGACUUGAGUAUGGCAGAGGUAAACGGAAUUUCUAGUGUGGCGGUUAAAUGCGUAGAUAUUAGAAGGAACACCAGUGGCGAAGGCGGUUUACUGGGCCAUAACUGACGCUGAGGCACGAAAGCGUGGGGAGCAAAUAGGAUUAGAUACCCUAGUAGUCCACGCCGUAAACGAUGAGUACUAAGUGUUGGG